rnacentral:rRNA from 1 species
GAGUUUGAUCGUGGCUCAGAUUGAACGCUGGCGGCAUGCCUUACACAUGCAAGUCGAACGGCAGCACGGGAGCUUGCUCCUGGUGGCGAGUGGCGAACGGGUGAGUAAUGCAUCGGAACGUAUCCUGGAGUGGGGGAUAACGUAGCGAAAGUUACGCUAAUACCGCAUAUUCUGUGAGCAGGAAAGCGGGGGACCUUCGGGCCUCGCGCUCUUGGAGCGGCCGAUGUCGGAUUAGCUAGUUGGUGAGGUAAAGGCUCACCAAGGCGACGAUCCGUAGCAGGUCUGAGAGGAUGAUCUGCCACACUGGAACUGAGACACGGUCCAGACUCCUACGGGAGGCAGCAGUGGGAAUUUGGACAAUGGGGCAACCCUGAUCCAGCCAUGCCGCGUGAGUGAAGAAGGCCU